rnacentral:rRNA from 1 species
UACGGAGGAUCCGAGCGUUAUCCGGAUUUAUUGGGUUUAAAGGGUGCGUAGGCGGCCUUUUAAGUCAGCGGUGAAAGUCUGUGGCUCAACCAUAGAAUUGCCGUUGAAACUGGGGGGCUUGAGUAUGUUUGAGGCAGGCGGAAUGCGUGGUGUAGCGGUGAAAUGCAUAGAUAUCACGCAGAACCCCGAUUGCGAAGGCAGCCUGCCAAGCCAUGACUGACGCUGAUGCACGAAAGAGUGGGGAUCAAACAGG